AGUGAACGCUGGCGGUAGGCCUAACACAUGCAAGUCGAACGGCAGCACAGUAAGAGCUUGCUCUUACGGGUGGCGAGUGGCGGACGGGUGAGGAAUACAUCGGAAUCUACUUUUUCGUGGGGGAUAACGUAGGGAAACUUACGCUAAUACCGCAUACGACCUACGGGUGAAAGCAGGGGAUCUUCGGACCUUGCGCGAUUGAAUGAGCCGAUGUCGGAUUAGCUAGUUGGCGGGGUAAAGGCCCACCAAGGCGACGAUCCGUAGCUGGUCUGAGAGGAUGAUCAGCCACACUGGAACUGAGACACGGUCCAGACUCCUACGGGAGGCAGCAGUGGGGAAUAUUGGACAAAGGGCGCAAGCCUGAUCCAGCCAUACCGCGUGGGUGAAGAAGGCCUUCGGGUUGUAAAGCCCUUUUGUUGGGAAAGAAAAGCAGCAGGUUAAUACCCCGCUGUUCUGACGGUACCCAAAGAAAUAGCACCGGCUAACUUCGUG
rnacentral:rRNA from 1 species